rnacentral:rRNA from 1 species
ACAGAGGGUGCGAGCGUUGUCCGGAAUCACUGGGCGUAAAGGGCGCGUAGGUGGCGACCCAAGUCGAUGGUGAAAGCUCGCCGCUUAACGGCGAGUCGGCCACCGAUACUGGGUUGCUCGAGCACUGUAGAGGCUAAUGGAAUUCCGGGUGUAGCGGUGGAAUGCGUAGAGAUCCGGAAGAACACCGGUGGCGAAGGCGGUUAGCUGGGCAGUUGCUGACACUGAGGCGCGACAGCGUGGGGAGCAAACAGGA